UAAAGAGGGUGCAAGCGUUAAUCGGAAUUACUGGGCGUAAAGCGCGCGUAGGCGGCCGCCUAAGUCGGGUGUGAAAGCCCCGGGCUCAACCUGGGAACUGCAUUCGAUACUGGACGGCUAGAGUAUGGGAGAGGGAGGUAGAAUUCCACGUGUAGCGGUGAAAUGCGUAGAUAUGUGGAGGAAUACCGGUGGCGAAGGCGGCCUCCUGGCUCAAUACUGACGCUGAGGUGCGAAAGCGUGGGGAGCAAACAGG
rnacentral:rRNA from 1 species